UACGUAGGGUGCAAGCGUUGUCCGGAAUUAUUGGGCGUAAAGAGCUCGUAGGCGGUCUGUUGCGUCGGCUGUGAAAACCCGAGGCUCAACCUCGGGCCUGCAGCCGAUACGGGCAGACUAGAGUUCGGCAGGGGAGACUGGAAUUCCAGGUGUAGCGGUGAAAUGCGUAGAUAUCUGGAGGAACACCGGUGGCGAAGGCGGCAUCCUGGACCAACACUGACACUGAGGAGCGAAAGCCAGGGGAGCAAACGGG
rnacentral:rRNA from 1 species